rnacentral:rRNA from 1 species
ACGGGAGGCAGCAGUGGGGAAUCUUGCGCAAUGGGCGAAAGCCUGACGCAGCAACGCCGCGUGCGGGAUGACGGCCUUCGGGUUGUAAACCGCUUUCAGUGGGGACGAAACAAGACGGUACCCACAGAAGAAGCCCCGGCCAACUACGUGCCAGCAGCCGCGGUAACACGUAGGGGGCGAGCGUUGUCCGGAAUCAUUGGGCGUAAAGAGCUCGUAGGCGGCUCAGUAAGUCGGGUGUGAAACCCCCAGGCUCAACCUGGGGACGCCACCCGAUACUGCUGUGGCUAGAGUCCAGUAGGGGAGUGUGGAAUUCCCGGUGUAGCGGUGAAAUGCGCAGAUAUCGGGAGGAACACCAGCGGCGAAGGCGGCACUCUGGGCUGGAACUGACGCUGAGGAGCGAAAGCGUGGGUAGCAAACAGGAUUAGAUACCCUGGUA